UACGGGGGGGCGAGCAGUGUUCGGUGAAUUACUGGGCGUAAAGGGUUCGUAGGUGGCUGGCUAAGUCAGACGUGAAAUCCCUCAGCUCAACUGGGGAACUGCGUCUGAGACUGGUCAGCUUGAGUGCAGGAGAGGAACGCGGAAUUCCAGGUGUAGCGGUGAAAUGCGUAGAUAUCUGGAGGAACACCGGUGGCGAAGGCGGCGUUCGUGACAUGCAACUGACGACUAGACGGA
rnacentral:rRNA from 1 species